AAAAAGAAAAGGAAGGAUUGUUAGGGGAAAUCAACCUAGUUAGCAUAUGUGACUCCAUUUUGGGUUUCAUCUUGGCCAUUAAGUAGAAGCGAGCACAUCACGUACCAAGGGAGGAUCCUUCAGGGUGGACAGCUGGACAGUUUCAAGAUAAGGGAAACAAAGGAGACAGGAACCAGCCAACAUGCCUGAAAUAGUUGCUAAUUCAGCUUUUUUGCAUGGGGAAGGUGGCUGCAGGGGAUUGGUAAUAGAUAAGGAGAAGGCCUGUUUAUUAGUUUAGGCCCCCCGAGGCACACAGGCAGGAUGUUUUGCCAACAGUAUAUAAUCUUUGUGUAACCUGUAAUCGGGGUCCCGUUCUGCUUAACAGAGCGGUACCACGCUUGAGCAUAAUAAAACU